GAUGAACGCUGGCGGCGUGCUUAACACAUGCAAGUCGAACGGAAAGGCCCAAGUUUGCUUGGGUACUCGAGUGGCGAACGGGUGAGUAACACGUGGGUGAUCUGCCCUGCACUUUGGGAUAAGCCUGGGAAACUGGGUCUAAUACCGGAUAGGACGUUGGUUUGCAUGCCAUUGUGGAAAGAUUUUUCGGUGUGGGAUGUGCUCGCGGCCUAUCAGCUGGUUGGUGGGGUGUUGGCGUACCAAGACGUCGUCGGGGAGCCGGCGUGAGAGGGUGUAAGGGCACAUAGGGAGGGAGAGACGGCGCAGAGACCUACGAGAGGCAGCAAAGGGGAAAAUAGCACAAAAUGCGCGGGCCUGAGGCGGAGACGCGGCGUGGGGGGUAAGAGGCUUCUGGUUGUAAACACCGUUCGCGAGGGACAAGACGUGUGAGUGACGGUACUGGGAGAAGAAGCACCGGCUAACUACGUG
rnacentral:rRNA from 1 species